CAGGCACAGGAAAAAAGCUGUGCCUGUAAAAUAAAAGCCACACCACUCCAAGUAAGUACUGUUGAAAAAAAAUAUUGAGCCUCAUGACUCAUCUAGACUCUCUUAAACUUCAGUUAUUCUGAUGGCUUUAUUUUGCCUAUAAUGGAUAGUAAAUACCCUUAUAGUCAAUGAUCAGUGUUUGUUUCGCCUUAAUUUUUUUAUUAUAAACAUUUUUGAUCUCUGCAUCCUUUUUGUGGAAUUUAUAUUACACUCCAGCUAUGGUGAGAACCAAAGAUUUACUUAAUUGAGGCCUGAGCUUCUUGAGGACAAGGAUCCUUCCCUUACUGACCUUCUACACACGGCCUUUUUACAGUGCUUGUUGUUAGAUGUAUAAUGUAACCACUUAAAUACUCUUAGAAUGCAUGGAUGGAUGGAGGACAGAAGGAAUGAAGUAACAGUAAGAUUCCUGGAUGAGAAGUCAAUUGUGUUUGUUUUUAGUCCUAUUCUUGCCAUCAGUUUUUGAUGGUGCUUUUUAAUAACUCAUGUGAAACGAUGUGGCACUGCUGAAUCAUUUUCAAGAUUUCUUCCCUAAUUUUUACCUUUCUGUGGCUAAAACAGUGUUGGAUCCACAUUCCAAGUGGUGUCUACCUGCCAUCUCUAGGAAUGUAAUGUUGAUGUUUCUGGGAAGUAAGAGCAUCAAGAUCACACCAUCCAUGAGACAUACAAAGCUAUACUGGCCAAUAAGAGAGGAAGAGAAUUGGUCCAGCACAGGAAACCAGAGGACCAACAUAAAAUGGGGAGAGAAGAAAAGACAGACUCAGUAUUAGCACAUUUUUGCUGCAAAAAAGACUAUAAUGGCUAAGGGCAUUCUAAUUUCUCUCGUUGGUUUCCUUGAAGUUGUUUGAAGGUAAGGAUAAUACUGUACAGGUCUUCCUUGAAUUAGGAUGGGGAUUCUUCCUGAUAAACCCAUCCUAAGUUGAAAAUAUAAGUUGAAGAUGUGUUUAAUACACCUAAUCUACCAAACAGCUUAGCUUCGCUUUGCCUACCUUAAAUAUGCAUGGAACACCUAAGUUAUUCUACAGUUGGGCGAAAACAUCUAAAUAAAACCCCAUUUUAUAAUACAAUGUUGAAUAUCUAAUGUCAUUUACUGAGUGUUUUCCUGAAGGUGAAAAACAGAGUGGCUGUCUAGGUACAAAAUGAUUGAGUGUUACUGGUGGUUUACCCUCCUUAUCACUUGGCUGACUGGGAGCUGCCUUGGUCCAGCAUCAUGAGUGAGCAUCAUGCAGCAUAUCACUGACUCAGAAAACCAUCAAAAUUCAAAAUUUGAAGCACCCUGUCUACUGAAUGUGUCAGUUUUGCACCAUUGUAAAGUAAAAAAAGCUAUAAGUUGAAUGGUACUGUUAAGUCACGGGCUCUGUGUACAUCCUUCCCAUGCGAAGGGCUUGGCCUAAGCCCAUUUAAUUCUGUGUCCUGGCACAUAUGGAAACUGUGUAAACCAAAGGAGGACCUGAUGAAAGGGCUUGAGGCAGGGCAAGAAAAAGCUGACUGUAGUGCAAGGGUAUCUUGGAAUCAUUUUAAGACAUAACCUGUCUUAAUAGAUCAAAGGUCUGAUUUUCUUGGCUGUUUCAUUUUCCAUAUUGUUACUUUCCAUUUCUUACUUCAUACUGUCAUCUUCACACACACAUUCAAAUGCGUACACGUGUGUACACCUUUUUAGGAGGUUGGAAGCAGCAGAGUGAAAUACUGAAUGAGUAGAGUGAAUGUACGAAGUGGUCUCAAGGACUAGAUCUGUGGUUACAUGUAUACCUCUCUAGUUGCUCUGUCCUUCCAAACCCAUUAUCUCAGACACAUUGUUUACAUGUUGGCAAUUACAGCUUGAACCUGAAAAAAUGGUAUUUUCUGCCAUUUUCGCUAGAAUUUCUAUGAGCUUGUCUGACUAGCAGUGUUUAAUAAUGGCUCCUGUUGCUUGCCCUUUUCAUUAUCCGGGGCAAAAUGUUGAGUUCACCCUUGAUUUUUUUUGCAAGCAGGCUUGUCCAUUUGUUCAUACUUCAGUUACAAAAAACAAACAAAUAAAAACAUUUGAGCAAAGGACUAUUUGCAGAUGACUGUUUGCUCUACUUUUGGGUAUAUUUUAAAUUUUACUUUGGUUCCUGUCUUCAUUUUUCCUCAAGGUAGUGUUAACGAGGGACCUGCUAGCUUAAUUGUAAGGGACGUGGGAUGUGUCCUUUUAUUGGCAUUAACAACAACUGGACCUGUCAGCUGUUAGAACCCUAUUCUGUAUGCUCAGGAAAGAGAGCCUGGUUUAUCAGUCUAGGCCUCCAGGCACUGUCCCGUAUAUAUAAGAAAUCAAGGGCUCCCAGGAGCCCUGAUCAUUAUGAAGAUAUUCCGCUGCGGGUUUUGAGCUGGAAGCCCUAGUGAUGGCUACAUCGGUGUCCUAGGACUUUUUGGCCACAGGGUUAGCAUUAACAAUGCCCAGGAUGGCCGCUUUCUCAAGAGUGUCCCAAGUGGCUUGUUUUCGUAGUUGUAAAUCACCCAUCACUCUCUCUUGUGUGCGCAGGGCUCUGGAAAUACUGAGAUUCAGGCUGUGCACUGGGGCCUGAGCUGGAAGAUGAGAAAUAAUGACAAACUGAAAAUGUCUUCAUGACUUUCUUAAGAAAAUAUCUUCUAGUGUCUUCCGAUAGACUGAACAUUAAUCUUUGAAUUCUAAACUUGAAACUACUGUAAUUAUGAUAGUUUAGGUUUUCAAGGGGGUGCUGACUUGAGAGUGCCAUAGUGGUUAUAGCAUCUGUGCUUUCACUGCUGUUCUUAGCUUAGUCUUCGCCUUCUCCAGGCCAUUCAGUCAAGGGCAAGACACCCAGUUUCUUGUGUUAUGGAGUUGUUCUGUGUUCCUUAUUUCUAUUCUUUGGCCUCAUCCCAUUCUAACUCUUAUCAUUGGAGUUAGUUGUGAAUGCCUCUGACCUUGCUAGAAGAGGAGCUCCUCAAGAUGGGGGGUUACGACUUGUUUCUCUCCCUGUGGACAGGUGGAAGUGAGCAGGUUUUUCCCCCACCUUGCUUCUGCCCAUUCUGGUUCCCGAUGGAGAGAGGAUUUUUAGAAGAGUGGCUAUUGAAAUUUUCUGUAUGGAAUGAUUUUUAGCAAGGUAGAUUGUUGAAGUACUUCUCAUUAAAUAUCAGCGAUGGCCAUCCCAGCAUGGAGCUGGGAUGAAUCCAGACAUCCUCAAUGGUAAAUGAUAGCCUCAAAGUUAACUUGGGGUCUCUGAAGGAGUGAAGCAGAGUUGAAACUGAAAAGAGAAAAGGGAACGACAUGCAAGGGGCAUUUAAAUCCUGUCUGCAGCUAAUGCUUAAAGGCCUGAAUAUAAACCCAGGGGAAGUGGUAAAUAAUACCAGUACCCUCAUUUGAAAUCUUGUUCCAUGCCUCUGAGUGAUGUUAUAUCCUAUCUGGUUAUGGGUUAUAGCUGUAAGCGCUUUGAAAAUAGUUGGGAACAAAAAAGCAGGGUUUUAGAGAUAGAUAGGAGUAGAGAGACAGAGACUGACAGAUACAUGUGAGUUGCUCAAUAUAAAUAUUGGAAAAAUUCAAUGGCUUGAAAUUCCUGAAAGAACAUUACAAACAUCAUUUCAUCCUGAGUUCAUCCUCAGUCAAGCGAGCAUUACAAAGAGUGGCUUAGUGUAAUCCUCUGCUCCACAUCGGCAGAGUCAUUAGCUCAGACAUGUGGAAAAGGGUAAAUACAGAGCUGCCAGAGUGGAGGAAAAGCCUGCGUCUGUUGUUGCCAUGCCGUGGACCCUGGCCCAAUGACUCUCUACUCAAGAGCCCAGACCUGUGUUUCAGGGGUGGCUAAUCAUAGACCAGCUAUGACGUGAUCACGCUUGCCUGGGA
rnacentral:lncRNA from 1 species